GCCUGGCUGGCGCAAUGGCUUAGCGCGCUGGACUUCUAGCUCCACGAGAUAGUAAUCCUGAGGUUGUGGGUUCGAGUCCCACGUCGGGCU